ACAAUGCGGGACUAUCAGUCUUGCAAUUGGAUUGAGAACAAUGUACAACUCUUAUCGAUAAGCCAUUGGAGGGCAAGUCUGGUGCCAGCAGCCGCGGUAAUUCCAGCUCCAAUAGCGUAUAUUAACGUUGUUGCAGUUAAAAAGCUCGUAGUUGAAGUGUGGGUGAUCGCUGUUGUGAGACUUCGGUCUCUCGACAGUAAGUCACCCCCUUCCAGUAUCCAGUAGUGGGUAUUCAGUUACUUACUAUUGUGUGUUGGUCAUUUACUGUGAGAAAAUUAGAGUGUUCAAAGCAGGCGUUUGCUUGAAUAGAUUAGCAUGGAAUAAUAAUUGAAGGCUUUCGUGUUCGAUUUGAUUGGUUUGUUCAUGGAAGCAAGGUUAAAAGGAACAGUUGGGGGUAUUCAUAUUCACUAGUUAGAGGUGAAAUUCUCGGAUUUAUGGAAGAU
rnacentral:rRNA from 1 species